rnacentral:rRNA from 1 species
AACAAACGCUGGCGGCGUGCCUAACACAUGCAAGUCGUACGAGAAAGUCGGCUUCGGCCGAUGAGUACAGUGGCGCACGGGUGAGUAGCGCGUGGGUAAUCUGCCCCCCGGUCAGGAAUAACCCGCCGAAAGGCGGGCUAAUACCCGAUAACACUGACGCUCCGCGGAGCGUCUUUCAAAGGAGGCCUCUGUUUACAAGCUUUCGCCGGAGGAUGAGCCCGCGUACCAUUAGCUAGUUGGCAGGGUAAUGGCCUACCAAGGCUGCGAUGGUUAGCUGGUCUGAGAGGAUGGCCAGCCACACUGGAACUGAGACACGGUCCAGACUCCUACGGGAGGCAGCAGUGAGGAAUCUUGCGCAAUGGGGGAAACCCUGACGCAGCAACGCCGCGUGAGUGAGGAAGGCCUUCGGGUCGUAAAGCUCUGUCAGAUGGGAAGAAAUGGGUGGGGGCGUAAUAUCGCCCAUCCUUGACGGUACCAUCAGAGGAAGCACCGGCUAACUCCG